rnacentral:tRNA from 1 species
GCUGACGUAGCUUAAUUAAAGCAUAACACUGAAGAUGUUAAGAUGGGCCCUAGAAAGCCCCGGGAGCAC